rnacentral:rRNA from 1 species
CAGCCGCCGCGGGAAUACAUAGGGUGCGAGCGUUAAUCGGAAUUACUGGGCGUAAAGCGUGCGUAGGCGGUGAGUUAAGUCUGCUGUGAAAUCCCCGGGCUCAACCUGGGAAUGGCAGUGGAUACUGGCUCGCUAGAGUGUGUCAGAGGAUGGUGGAAUUCCCGGUGUAGCGGUGAAAUGCGUAGAGAUCGGGAGGAACAUCAGUGGCGAUGGCGGCCAUCUGGGACAACACUGAUGCUGAGGCACGGAAGCGUGGGGAGCAAACAGGAUUAGAUACCCGCGUAGUCCCUGUCUCUUAUAC